UAUGGCUCAGGAUGAACGCUGGCGGCGUGCCUAACACAUGCAAGUCGAGCGGAGAUAAGUGAAGCCUAGCGAUCUAUCUAGCGGCGGAUGGGUGAGUAACACGUGGGUAACCCUGCCCUGCACUGGGGAAUAACAGCUGGAAACGGCUGUUAAUGCCGCAUAUGCGCACGGAGCCGCAUGGCUUUGGGCGGAAAGAUUUAUCGGUGCAGGAUGGGCCCGCGCCGGAUUAACUAGUUGGCGGGGUAACGGCCCACCAAGGUGAUGAUCCGUAGCCGACCUGAGAGGGUGACCGGCCACAUUGGGACUGAGACACGGCCCAAACUCCUACGGGAGGCAGCAGUGGGGGAUAUUGCACAAUGGGGGAAACCCUGAAUGCAGCGACGCCGCGUGAAGGACGAAGUAUUUCGGUAUGUAAACUUCUAUCAGCAGGGAAGAAAAUGACGGUACCUGACUAAGAAGCCCCGGCUAACUACGUGCCAGCCGCCGC
rnacentral:rRNA from 1 species